CAAAACAAAAGAAUAAAGUUCAAAGGAGUUUGGAAACACUACGACUAAAGACACUUUAUUAGGCUCCCCCCACACUUAGGAGAAGCAUUGUCCUCAAUGAUUCAAGAUAGAAAAAUAAAAGAGAAGGAGAGGAAGAAGAAGAAGAAGAAAAAGAAGAAAAAGAAGAAGGAGGAGAAGGAGAAAGAAGGGAAGAGAGGAAGAGGAAAGCUCACAUUUUUAUCAUUGAGGUCCAUAUGGAGGACCUUGGAGGUGAAAGUGGUGCAUCAUGUUCCGAAGCAUUUGGUUAUUUUCUUCGGAUAUGCGGUUGCCCCUUUGGAUCUCAUUCCUUAGUCCCAUUAAUUCAACACCUUGCCUUUGUUGCUCGGUCCCAUUAAUUCCUUAGUCCCAUUAAGAAGUAGAAGAAAAGAGGAAGAGAAAAGAGUUCUAAUCACAAAGAAAGAGUUAAUCAAAUUAGUUUACUCCCCGGCAGCGGCGCCAAAAACUUGAUGAGAUAAAACCGCAAGUGCACGGUCUUACUGAAGUAGUAUAAAAAGAGUAUCGUUCCGACAGGGAGUAGUUCAUUUUCCCAAGUCCGGUCCAUUUUCCCUUGAUCUUGGCCGUUAGACCUAGGGUUUCAUCCCCUGGAUCAAUCCAACGCUCCCUGAGUGUCCAGGUCCAAUAGGCUUGGGCUUGGGCCUUUUUUUUCCCUGUGGUUUCCUGCGUUUUUGCUAUUUCUUGCUAUGUGCACCCUCUGUUUUUUAUGAUUCCUAAAAAUUUCCCCAUUUCUGCUCAUUUAUUUCUUCAGUGCCCUUUUGCAACUAAUUUAUGAACUUGGCUUGGUGGUAAACUUAACUGUUUGAUAGAUUGUAUGUCAGCUCUUUCUCUUUUAUCUUGCAUUCCUGCUCAGUGCUCUUCUCAGAUAGCAGAUAUAUACCUCGUGAUAGUAAUUCACACCGUUCAUGCUAUUUGGCUCGCUCGGAAUAACAUUCGGUUCUCUUCGACUACUACAACCUUUCACUCCGUAAAGGUCCGCAUUCACUCUUGGAUCGCUAUGUCUGGUACUACCUCGACUGGGAAUUGCUUGCCUUCGGAUUCACAUUUACUAGAUUCUUUUGCGGUUGCUGCUCAUUGUCGCACUAUUAAGGAGAUCAUCCCGGUGUUGUGGAAGGCUCCAUCCUCUCCUUGGAUGAAAGUUAACACUGAUGGCUCUGUCAUUGUUGGCCACACGGCUUGUGGCGGUCUCUUUCGAGACUCUACGGGCUCUUUCCUUGUUGCUUUCUCUUGUAACAUUGGGGAGGCCUCGGUUUACCAUUCGGAAGUUCUUGCUAUUAUUUUAUCCAUGGAGCACGCGUCCUCUCAUGGGUGGCGACACAUCUGGUUGGAAAGUGACUCAUCUAGUGCCUUGGAUGAAUAAGGCUUGUUCCCUUUUAAAUUAAAAGCUCUUCAUAAUUUUAAAAUUAUUAGUAAAUAUCUCUUAAAUAUAUCAAUGUGUUAUUUUUUGUUCAUUUAGAAAACAUAAAAACACUUCUUGUCAUAAAAAUAAUAAUCAAUAUAAUUGAAUACAAU
rnacentral:lncRNA from 1 species